rnacentral:rRNA from 1 species
UACGGAGGGUGCGAGCGUUGUUCGGAAUCACUGGGCGUAAAGCGCGUGUAGGCGGCCCACUAAGUCUGAUGUGAAAGCCCGGGGCUCACCCCCGGAAGUGCAUUGGAAACUGGUGGACUCGAGUCCCGGAGAGGAGAGUGGAAUUCCUGGUGUAGCGGUGAAAUGCGUAGAUAUCAGGAGGAACACCGGUGGCGAAGGCG